rnacentral:rRNA from 1 species
GCAAGUCGAGCGAACAGACGAGAAGCUUGCUUCUCUGAUGUUAGCGGCGGACGGGUGAGUAACACGUGGGUAACCUACCUAUAAGACUGGGAUAACUCCGGGAAACCGGGGCUAAUACCGGAUAAUAUUUUGAACCGCAUGGUUCGAUAGUGAAAGACGGUUUCGGCUGUCACUUAUAGAUGGACCCGCGCCGUAUUAGCUAGUUGGUAAGGUAACGGCUUACCAAGGCGACGAUACGUAGCCGACCUGAGAGGGUGAUCGGCCACACUGGAACUGAGACACGGUCCAGACUCCUACGGGAGGCAGCAGUAGGGAAUCUUCCGCAAUGGGCGAAAGCCUGACGGAGCAACGCCGCGUGAGUGAUGAAGGUCUUCGGAUCGUAAAACUCUGUUGUUAGGGAAGAACAAAUUUGUUAGUAACUGAACAAGUCUUGACGGUACCUAACCAGAAAGCCACGGCUAACUACGUGCCAGCAGCCGCGGUAAUACGUAGGUGGCAAGCGUUAUCCGGAAUUAUUGGGCGUAAAGCGCGCGUAGGCGGUUUCUUAAGUCUGAUGUGAAAGCCCACGGCUCAACCGUGGAGGGUCAUUGGAAACUGGGAAACUUGAGUGCAGAAGAGGAGAGUGGAAUUCCAUGUGUAGCGGUGAAAUGCGCAGAGAUAUGGAGGAACACCAGUGGCGAAGGCGGCUCUCUGGUCUGUAACUGACGCUGAUGUGCGAAAGCGUGGGGAUCAAACAGGAUUAGAUACCCUGGUAGUCCACGCCGUAAACGAUGAGUGCUAAGUGGUUAGGGGGGUUUCCGCCCCUUAGUGCUGCAGCUAACGCAUUAAGCACUCCGCCUGGGGGAGUACGACCGCAAGGUUGAAACUCAAAGGAAUUGACGGGGACCCGCACAAGCGGUGGAAGCAUGUGGGUUAAUUCGAAGCAACGCGAAGAACCUUACCAAAUCUUGACAUCCUUUGACCGUUCUAGAAAUAGAA